rnacentral:lncRNA from 1 species
GAAUGUUGACUGAUCUACAGAUAUUAUAGCGACCACAUAUUACAGGUUACAUCCUACAAAUUCAAACAAUUUAGCUCAGGCAAAAACAAAUAGAAUAAGCUAACACAGGUGUACCAAUUCAGCUAAAACAGUCUCCUUGACGACUCCUCUACCAUCCAUCUCUACACCACACAUACAUCACCUCAUUGCACAUCUGCACAGAUCCAAAAGGGAAAUAAGGCAUCCCUCAAAGGAAGCAAGUUUCCAAUUCUUAAGAUAAUACAUACACAAAAUAAAAUGAUUUAAUCACACCUGAUGUAUCCCAUAGUGGUUGCUUUGUAAGAUUUAUCGCUGAGAAAUUGAAGGACUGGGAACAGAAUGUAUGACCAGUGGUUGGAUCGAGGGUUUCAUUUUGUGGGAACGGCGAGUGGGGAGAGGGAGGGCAGUCGGCGCCGCGCGUGGGAUUGGAACUAACGGCGACUGGGCGACACACCCCGGCGGAUUCCUGAAUCAAUCUUUGCCAUGGCUGAAGAUGUCCAUUUUUGGGAGAUGAGGGAAGAAACGGCAGGAGGAAG